UGGUGACUCAUAAUAACUUUACGGAUCACAUUAAAUGUGACAUAUCAUUCAAGUUUCUGACCUAUCAGCUUUAAACGGUAGGGUAUUGGCCUACCGUGGCAAUGACGGGUAACGGGGAAUUAGGGUUCGAUUCCGGAGAGGGAGCCUGAGAAACGGCUACCACAUCUAAGGAAGGCAGCAGGCGCGCAAAUUACCCAAUCCUAAUACAGGGAGGUAGUGACAAGAAAUAACAAUACAGGACUCUUUGG
rnacentral:rRNA from 1 species